GAACAAUAGAGAACCUGCUGCUGCUGUGAUUUUUUUUCAACUUUGAAACAAAAUUCAAGUCAACUUUCAUGGAAAAUAGAGAUAAAAGAGCUGCGCAGGUCAUACGUCUGGAAGAGUCAACUGCUUACUGAAGUAGUGGGAGAAAACGACAUAUAUUUAUAGACGUUGGCAGCUAGAGCGCCGACCAAUGAGCGUCUCACUGGAAGUGGCCCCGCCAAUCAGCGCACAGCAGGCAAAAGCUCGAAGUAUAAAAACUAACUUUUCUGGCGCGCACACUCAGUUCCAUCCUGGAGGUCAUUGAGGUAAAAUCUAUGUCGCUUGAAGAAAUUUUUUUUUGAAAAUUUUUAAUUUAGCAAGCAUCGACUUUCCCCCACUUUUUUGCAAUAGAAGAGGAGAAUUCAAGGACAAAUGAAAAAAGAAGACCUGCUAAGCACCAAGUUUGGCAAUACAGUGGAAAUUCAAAUUUGGAAACACUGACGUGAUGAUGAAAUGUGUUAAUUACAGGACGCAAAGAAGAGAAAGAACUUUUGCGGAAUUGGGACUCUCUACUGUUUUCAAUUUUCUGGUGAGGCGGGGUCUAUUUUGUACAACAUAGACGAAACUUGGUUUCGCGACAAGAAAAGUUGGUCUAAUUCUCGAAUUGUAACUAAAUUACAUUGGUUUAAAAUCCACUUUUCCUGCGCAACUUUUCUUCUCUCUGAUAUUAAACCACCGGAUCUUAAAAUAAUAAGAACAUAAUGCAUUAUUCAAUGCAAAUGUUACAAGGAAGUCGAUAAUUGGACGUGCCAAGGAGCCAUUGAAUGUAGCGCACAAUGUCGUCUGGCAUCGAUUUUCAAUAGUCGGUUUUGACAGUCACUUUCAUUUUGGAAUAUAAUGCGCUUCCGAUGCUUACAGGGCGAAAGAAAUUAUCCGACAUUUUACAGAAAGACGUCUUCUUCGUGCAAGUCAACUUUUUGAAAAGGAGAAACGAAAAAUUGAAAAACGUCAAUGAAGAAAUUUAACAAUUUUGAUGGAUCAAGUUUCUAAUCAAUUUCGAAUACUUAACGCUCUGGACUCUAUAUUUCUGCACGAAACUCGACAUUCUGCUAAAAAAAAAAAACAGGAAAAAAGGAAAAUGUUUGAUGCAAAAUAUAGAAACGGAUUCCUUUCAUGUGGGGAAUUUUUGGAAAGAAAUUCACAAUUUUGGAAAAGAAAUUUUGAAGAUUUAACAAAUGAGGAAAAGCAAAAUAUGAUGAAGAAUGGAUAAAGACGACUUUUUAUUCAAAUGAAACAAACUUGCAGAUAAGAAAGGACCAUAAUAAAGUAAUGCAUUGUGCAUGUCGACUAUUUUAUAUCUUUUGCUCUAUAUGCCAAGCAUUCAUCAUACAACGUGAACAAACAAGCUCACAGUUAUUCAAGCAGUCGUAAAUGGACAGAAAGAAGAAUACAAAAAUAGGAUUCAACAUACUUCUGGUUUCUGCAAAAAGGAGAAUUUUCCUCAACUGAAGAAAGAUGGAGAGAAAAAUUUCCCACAACAUUUUCAGUCUUCAACAACGUUGGAAUCAUCGAUCGGUGAGUCAUUUACUGGCAAAAAAUUAUACUUAAAAAAGCUUUUCAUGUAUUUUGGGACAAUUUUCAAUUAUUAAAUUAGCAAAAAAUUUAUAAUUAAUAUUAAAAAAAAUUUUUUUAAUUAUUUAUUAAAAAAUCGAAAAGUAAAAAAAUCUAUUUUAAGGGCAUUUCCACGAGAACAAUUGAAUUUUCGUUCGUGCGUCACGAUGACUAAAACGGCUGUAUCUUUUUUCAAUUUUCUUAUAAAAUUGGAAACGUUUCUAUUUUGUUAUCUUUUUGCAACGAACAAAAAAAAAUUUUAUUUUAUAAUAAUUUCAAAAAAAAAAAGUUACAGACAAAUUUAGGCUUCGUGACGCAUGGACAGAAUGUCCGCUUUUUCAUGGAAAUGUCCUUAAGACAAAAUAAAUAAUAAUAAUAAAUAUUAAUUAAAAUUUUACUAUUGUAGGUAUUAAAAUUAUUGAUUAAAAAUUUUGGAUAAUUAUAUUAAAAUUGUUGAUCCGAAAAUUAUAAUUUUUGAAAAUAAUUUUAUAAAUAGUAAUAAUUAAAGUUAAAUGUCUUUGAUUAAUUUUUAUGAAUAUUAAAAAUUAUUCGUUUGAUUACUAAAUGAUUGCAAAAUUACUUAUUGGCUAUUAGAUAUAGUACACGCCUGUAAGUUAAGCUGAUGAUUAAUCAAAUACAACAUGAUGUUGUCCCAACAAUACAUGAUCUGCUUGCUUUGAUGCAAUUAGAUAGAAGAGCUUUAGCUGCUUGGUUAGCCAAAGAUCAACCAUCUGCCGUCUACAGACCUUUAAUUUAUUCGUUAGUUUAUAUAUACAAUAUCGAGAAUACACCUGCGAUUAUCCCUCGUGUAUAGGGAAAAAAAAAAAUUUACAACUGGAAAAUUAAUAUCAUUAUAUUAGCCCCAUUAUAAAACAAAUAUUUGAAAUUUUCUAUGCUGCAAAAAAAUUUGUUUUCAAUUCUUUUUUUGAAAUUUUUAAUAAAA